GAACGCAGCGAAAUGCGAUACGUAGUGUGAAUUGCAGAAUUCCGCGAAUCAUCGAGUCUUUGAACGCAAGUUGCGCCCGAGGCUUGACCGAGGGCAUCUCUGCCAGAGCGUCACCG
rnacentral:rRNA from 1 species